UCCCUGAUGGCUCAGAGGGUAAAGAAUCAGCCUGAAAUGCAGAAGACCUGGGUUGGAUCCCUGGUUCGGGAA
rnacentral:tRNA from 1 species